CUACCCCACCGCCCCUAUACAGAGGAAUGACAGGAAAACGCCAAUAACCAUACCUCAUAUAAGUGCCCUACUCCAUUACAUGGCAUCUGAGAAACCUCUAGUCAAUCUAUCACAAAGGUAUCUUUAUGAGUGCCCCAAUGAAGACAAGACAUUCUGCAUCUUAUUGCAUAUAAUACAGAUUGUUUA